UGCAGAUGUUGGCUACGACGCAGCACGUACACUUCCCAUCACUGACAGGCAGCGCUGUGAAGCUUUUCCUUAAAUAGCGGCUGUACCCGUCGGCAGCGUGGGCACUCGUGCGUGUGGGGGCUUCUCUUGCACACUCGUUCUGCUAACCUGAAAGCUCUCGCUCACUUCCUUUCUAGAAGACCUCACAGUAACCCACCUCUGAGCUGAGGAGGUUUGAGGUUUACUGUAGCUGAGAACGAUGCAGCUGCGUCUUUAUUCCUGCUACAGUAAAAUGCACUGUACGUCUGCAGAGCCUUAUCGCUUGGAUGAUCUGACCACGAUGGGUCCAUGGCCAGUGUGUCUGGUUCUGCUGCUACCACUGACCAUGUGCUCCGACAGAGAAGCUACUAUUGUUCAAAGAGCAGUGGGAGAACACUUUGUGACUCCACUGUGCUCCAACGCUACAAAGCAAAACGACAAGAUAGAAGUUGUCGUUCUGGUAACGUGCAGCAUCAGGAGACUGAGCAGCAGAGAAGACUGUCGUCUGCUGUAUCGUCAUGAAAAAGGCUUUGAACAUGGAUGUGGCUCCAGGUUCAGACUCAAAGCAGAGAAUCACACUAUACUUCUCCAUCUGACCAGUUUAACAGCAGAGGACAGUGGGAACUACUCCUGUGAAUGUUCACGUCUUAGUGGAACAAUUAGGCUUCAAUUCAAUGUCACUGUGGAAGAUAAUGAAGACCUCAGUACAGAUGACAACUUUGAAGUGCAGCAAACACUGGUUAUUACUCUGGUAAUAACCAGUGUUUGCUGUGCAGCUGUAUUCAUCAUUAUAACUGGAUUGUUCCUGAGAUGUUGCCUUAGAGACUGUUGGACCUCAGCUACAUCUGGAACAUCUGUAUAUAAAACCUGCAACGCUUUGGAUCCAGAUGACCGAAGUACGAACAGUACAGUGAUAUUUAGUCACACAUCUUCACUAAUAAGGAAGUAAACGGAAAACACAUUGACCAAUGUGAAAUCUAUAAAAAUAUCAUGAUGUACAGUAAUGUGGAUAACCUUGAGGAACAGUAGUAGUUAAAAUAAUUUUAUGUUAACAGUUUGUGUUUAUACUGUUGUAGAUGUAAGAGUUCCCUACAUAUUAAUACUGUAUUUGUUUUUAAGUACAAAAUAAGCAAGUACAGUGAGUUUAGUGGAGCAGUACUUCAUUAGCAGAAGACAGGUUUGAGUGGAUAGACUUUGUGGUGAUGUGUUAUAUUUUUAAUAAAAAUGAAACUGUGUGUACA
rnacentral:lncRNA from 1 species